rnacentral:rRNA from 1 species
GAUGAACGCUGGCGGCGUGCCUAAUACAUGCAAGUCGAGCGAACAGACGAGGAGUUUGCUUCUCUGACGUUAGCGGCGGACGGGUGAGUAACACGUGGAUAACCUACCUAUAAGACUGGGAUAACUUCGGGAAACCGGAGCUAAUAUCGGAUAAUAUAUUGAACCGCAUGGUUCAAUAGUGAAAGACGGUUUUGCUGUCACUUAUAGAUGGAUCCGCGCCGCAUUAGCUAGUUGGUAAGGUAACGGCUUACCAAGGCAACGAUGCGUAGCCGACCUGAGAGGGUGAUCAGCCACACUGGAACUGAGACACGGUCCAGACUCCUACGGGAGGCAGCAGUAGGGAAUCUUCCGCAAUGGGCGAAAGCCUGACGGAGCAACGCCGCGUGAGUGAUGAAGGUCUUCGGAUCGUAAAGCUCUGUUAUUAGGGAAGAACAAAUGUGUAAGUAACUAUGCACGUCUUGACGGUACCUAAUCAGAAAGCCACGGCUAACUACGUG